AUGCUGUUGACAGAAAGAACGAGCUAAUACAUUAUGAUAGUGGGGCUGAAGAAGGGCAGUAUUAAAACAAAAACCAUGUGAUCAUUAAGCCCAUUGUGUAAAGGAGGACUCUGUUAUAACUGAGAGUCACAAC
rnacentral:snoRNA from 1 species